rnacentral:rRNA from 1 species
UCACCGCUACACCAGGAAUUCCAUUCUCCCCUGCAUACCUCAAGUCUGCCCGUAUCGAAAGCAAGCAUCGAGUUAAGCCCGAUGUUUUCACUCCCGACGCAACAAACCGCCUACGAGCCCUUUACGCCCAAUAAUUCCGGACAACGCUCGCACCCUACGUAUUACCGCGGCUGCUGGCACGUAGUUGGCCGGUGCUUCUUCUGUACCUACCGUCACUCUCGCUUCGUCGGUACUGAAAGAGGUUUACAACCCGAAGGCCGUCAUCCCCCACGCGGCGUCGCUGCAUCAGGCUUGCGCCCAUUGUGCAAUAUUCCCCACUGCUGCCUCCCGUAGGAGUCUGGGCCGUGUCUCAGUCCCAGUGUGGCCGGUCACCCUCUCAGGCCGGCUACCCGUCGUCGCCUUGGUGAGCCGUU